AAUCAGAAACUAAUUCAUACUAUAGUUGAGUCUUAUAUUUCCAGUAAAUUUUUUUAAAGAAUAAAUUAGUGUAGAUAUCUAAACUGGACCAUAGUUUAUCUCUUUGAAAAUAAUGAGGAAUCAUCAAGUAUUUCCAGGUCUUUAAAGUGAAGUCAGAUGAGUCCAAGAAAUAAGUUGAAUGUCUAAUAUCUCCUUGGAAAGUCGGAUAAUCUUCUUUGAACACAUCUAAUUGCCAUAAGUGGAACAUUCCUGCUGCCAGCUACAUUAGGUAGCACAGAGAGAAAAGUAACAUUGCUCUCAAUCAGUCUGUGAGAUCCUUGGACACAGCAAACUGUCUACAGCUAUGUUUCCAGCUCUCACAGUUUUUACUCUAAAGGAUAUCUUUGGAAGGUUCAUUUCUCAAUACUCCAAGG